GACAGAGGGUGCAAACGUUGUUCGGAAUUACUGGGCGUAAAGGGCUCGUAGGCGGCCAACUAAGUCAGACGUGAAAUCCCCAGGCUCAACCUGGGAACUGCGUCUGAUACUGGAUGGCUUGAAUCCGGGAGAGGGAUGCAGAAUUCCAGGUGUAGCGGUGAAAUGCGUAGAUAUCUGGAGGAAUACCGGUGGCGAAGGCGGCAUCCUGGACCGGCAUUGACGCUGAGGAGCGAAAGCGUGGGGAGCGAACAGG
rnacentral:rRNA from 1 species